UACAGAGGUCUCAAGCGUUGUUCGGAUUCAUUGGGCGUAAAGGGUGCGUAGGCGGCGCGGUAAGUCGGGUGUGAAAUCUCGGGGCUUAACUCCGAAACUGCAUUCGAUACUGCCGUGCUUAAGGACUGGAGAGGAGACUGGAAUUUACGGUGUAGCGGUGAAAUGCGUAGAUAUCGUAAGGAAGACCAGUGGCGAAGGCGGGUCUCUGGACAGUUCCUGACGCUGAGGCACGAAGGUCAGGGGAGCAAACGGG
rnacentral:rRNA from 1 species